CGCCGCAUACACUAUUUGUGUCCUUUCAGAAUCACAGGAGUGACUCACAUUCCAGACAAUCACUUGGACUUCAUCACAUCCUCAGUGAUUGGGCAGGAAGAAAUGUCAGAGAGCUCUCUAUUUUAUGGGUAAAGAGAGGAAGGUUGCUGGGCACAGUGGCUCACAUCUAUAAUCCCAGCACUUUAGGAGGUCAAGGACAGAGGAUCGCUUGAGGCUAGGAGUUCAAGACCAGCCUGGGCAAUGUAGUGAGACCCCCAUCUCCACAAUUUUUUUUUUUUUAAAUAGCUGGGUGUGAUACUGUGUCUGUAGUACCAGCUACUCAGGGGACUAAGGUAGGAAGAUGACUUGAACCAGGAGUUUGAGGCUUCAGUGAGGUGUGAUUGUACCACUGCUCUCUAUCCUGGUCAACAGAGUGUGACUGUCUCAAAAAAAAGAGAGAGAGAGAGGAGUGGGGAGGGAGAGACAAAGUCCCUGAGUGAGUUUCCUCAAGUCCCAGAGCCAUCAGUGACUGAGCCAGGAGGACGACACAGGUCUCUUUUCCAAGAACUGUCCUGGUGAACCAGAAUCAAUCUCAUAGAACUGAGGAACCAAGAUGGUGAUUCUAAAAUGUAGUCCCUCAUGCUGGAGAGAUGCAGUUUCUGGGUGAGGGGUGAACACAAUCUUUUUUUUACAAGAAAAGCCGCAUUCCUCCCAAGGGCUUCCUCAGCACAUACCAGAACCACAGGCCGCAUGAAAGUAUGAAAGUUAGAAUGAAAUGAUUUGGGACUCUGAGGGCCUGAUUAAACCUCAGGAUAAAUUGGUGGAAGGAAAUCACCAAGGAACGGUGGCUACAGGGGCGUUCCAGGAGACAGGCGGAAUUCUUGGCCUCAGCGCUCUCUUAUACCAGAGUAGAAACUCUGUGUGGCACAGGAAGACUUUAACUAAAUCUCAUUUCUUCUUGUCACCUUCCCUUGGAGGAAUCUCAACAGAUGCCUUUUGCUUUCUGCAUGGGAGUCUCUGAGAUGUAGUCUUGCUCUGUCACCCAGACUGGAAUGCAGUGGCACGCUCUUGGCUCAUUGCAACCUCCACCUCCCAGGUUCAAGCGAUUCUCCUGCCUCAGCCUCCCAAGUAGCUGGGAUUAUAGCCAUCCACCACCACACCUGGCUGAUUUUUGGAUUUUUAAUAGAAAUGGGAUUUCGCCAUGUUGGCCGGGCUGGUUUCGAACUCCUGACCUCAAGUGAUCUGCCGACCUUGGCCUCCCAGAGUGCUGGGAUUACAGGCGUGAGCCACUGUGGCCAGCCAAUACUUGCUUUUAUUGCAGUGGUCUGGAACUGAACCUGCAAUUUCUCCAAGGUAUGUCUGUACAUAACAUCAGAAAGUUGCAUGGGACAUUUGAGUAUUUUACAUGGGAGAGAAGGUGAUAGGA
rnacentral:lncRNA from 13 species